GGCGGCGGGAUCCCUCCGCCGCGAUGGGUCUGCCCCUGGGUAGCGAAGCAGGAAGUAAGGUGUCGGCAGCGCCGCGGCAGCCCGGCCCCGCGGCGGGACGAGGGGUGCCCGCUGCCCCCAGCGGCCCGCCGCCGGCCGUCAGCCGCCGUCUCCCGCCUCCCGCUCCGCUGAGACGCGGUCUCGCCGGCAGCCCCUCCUCUCAGGCCGUAUGAAACCUCCGAACAGUCCUACCGCCUCGUGAUGCUGUUGAAGGACCUUUCGGCAACGUCCGCGGGUGCUGGGAGCGCUGGGCUGAGAUCGUGGCCGGCCGAGCCUCCCGCUUGCUGCUGUCAGAAGAGGGAGACCUCGCUCUCUUCUCUGCUCACUGGCUUGCCUCGCCGAGUUGGUUCAGCGAGAAGACUACUGCUUCUCCUUUGAGUUCAUUUCCUGCCAUUUCGGUGAGCUCCUGGGAGAUCACCUGGGCGCCGAGGACGGCACAAGCGGUCUGGGAGGGAGCUGGCGAGGCACCACUUGCAGUAGCAGCAAAUGCCGGGGUGGCUCGUUGCCUGCUCUAGCCUCCCACCACUUAAAAAGAACAGAAAAUAAGAAAAUGUCGUAAGGUAAUUGCCUUUACUUUGACAGUUUCUUUAGGGGUUUGGGGCUUUUUUUAUAUAUUAAUGAAUUUUAAUUUUUCUAAGUGGAGCUGUUUUAGAAAUUAAAGAAUUACUGACAUUUGGAAGUGA